UGUUGUUGGGCCGAAGGCUGAGGCCAGUUCCGAUCCUGAGAGAAAAAAUGGGUCAGAAGUUGUGCAAAAAGAGACAAAAUGGAGCCGUGGAGGGAGCUCCUGGAAAGGCCCCAAUGCCUUGUGUAUCCCAGAGCAGCAAAAGGAAAUGGAGGGUCCUUGAGGCACUUCAGAUAGGUUUGCCCUGCCUUGCCUCGUGUUCUGGGAACCCUCAAGGGUUUUUCAAUGGGCAUGGAGGGCCCUCCAUGUUUGUGAGGAGGAACCCCCAUGUCAUUUUUGCAGGGGGAAUUGCAGUAGCCGCCCCCCCCCCGCAGCAGGGGUGGUGUUUCUCCUGGGCUGUGUGUGUGUGAUGUGGGGAAAAAAUGCUCCUCAAGUCCCUCGUUGCCCCGAGAGGGGAAAAACAACAGAGGAAGCCAUGACGGCUGCUGAGCCCCCUCUUUCCCCUGAGAGAGACCCCUCUUCUGGCAGCAGUAGGGCAGGGCCCCCCAAGCGGGGGAACUGCCUGGCCUGGAUCUGGACCCAAGCCAUCGUAAGGUCCAGCCACCUCAACCGUCGGGACCUGAGAUGGACCGGCGGGCCCCUUGGGACGACCCAAGGCUGCCCCAGCACAAUGAGGAAGCCAUGGACGGAGCCUGAAAGCCACAGAAGCAACAACAAAGGUAGGAAACUGUCUCCAGUGGGUUGAAAGAAUCUCCAAAGGAGGACAGGGGAAGAGGUAUCACUUCUCAACACAUCUCUAGCCCCAACAGCUGACUGAAGAAUGGCUCUGCUGCUCUUUCCCUGUCAUGAGAGAUGAAGAGACCACUCAAUUAUGCUUACAUCUGGCAAACCUUCAUUGGCAACAUCACAGUGGUUCUUUUGACCAGUGGCAAUAACACCAGAAGUACGAAGCAGGAGCACCGAUAUUGGUAGGCACUUCAAAUUAACUGCUAGUUCACUCACUUGAUUGAUUAGGACAGGAUGAACUUGCUUUCAGGUGUCAUCAUCAGGUGAUUUCAGCGCUGAGAUAGUAGACUCCUGUUCUGUUCAUCUAAAAGAAUCUACUGGCCUGGCAACCUUUUUGCAAAUAAACCUUCUUUCCCUAUUGCA
rnacentral:lncRNA from 1 species